AGGUGGUGGAAUUUCUUCCUUUUGUGGCUCAGAACUUGGGAUAGCUAAAGUAGAUGGAGAAUUUGGCAGAGUGUCUACUUCGGCUUCGUGGGUUUCAUCAUGAAGGGUAUUAUCCAUCUCAGCUUCUAGGAUUCUAUCUAGGAUCGCUCUAGCGUCAUUAGUAGGGAUGCGAAAGAAAGAACCUCUAGACAUUGUAUGUAGCAUUUGUUUAUGAUCUUUCUGAAGACCUCGAAAAAAGUGAAAUAAAAGAACAGGGUCUUCAAGAUUAAGUUUUGGACAAGAUUCUAAAAGAUUAGAAAAGUGUUUCCAGGAUUUUCCCAAAGUUUCAUUAUCUUUUUGUUUAAAAGAUAGGACUUCGAGUCUAAGGUCGCUGAUACGGUCAAGGGAAUAAAAAUCUAGACAAAAGUUGGCUCAUAAGACUCCCCAUUCACCUCGUUGUUGACUUACCUUCUGACUAUACCAUUGUCUAGCUUCUCCCCUUAAAGAAAAAGAAAAAAAUCUUCCAACGUAAAGUUUUAUCAGAAAUGCC
rnacentral:lncRNA from 1 species